GAACUACCGUACCUAAACCGACACUGGUGAGCGAGUCGAGUAGACCAUUGGCCCAUGAGUCACCUAGGGGGAAGGAACUCGGCAAACUAGCUCUAUACUCCUAGGAAGAUAGAGUGCUCAAACAGGGUUUAGCUUUGAGUAGCGAAGAUUCUCUUGAGUUCAAGCUUAGCAGGAAUGGGGACUGUUUCCUUAAAACACAGGCUUCUGACUCUCAUUAGAGAUUGGACAGGAGCCGAGAUUUGCCCAGUGCUAGUCACUGAAAGAGGGAGGGUUCCAUUUCCUACCCCUGCUUUGUUUUCAGUCAUAAGGGAUCUCUCAACCUCGAAACCUCAGAAAGAUACGUUCUUUAACGGGACACUUCGAGUAAGAAUUUGAAGAUGGGAUAGACCAGAGAAAGAAACAGAGUUGAGUCGGUGAUUGGAAUCUCACUCAUAAGGCCUAGUCAACGGCGGCUUUAACCCUAAGAGUCAUAAAGUAGCGAAAUGCCUUGGCUAUUAAUUGUAGUCCUCUCCAGCAUGAAUAGUAUAACCAUCGUUCCGCUGUCUCCCCCCUAGACUCUACUAAAUCACAAUGCUUGUUCAGAUGCAAGCCUCCCCUGCUGGGACGUAAAGACCCUAUGCAGCUUCACUGUUAGAUCCUCUUAUCACCUUAAAGACGAAUUGGGAGAAGUCAUAUUCUUCCCACUGGGAAGCUGAAAAGAGACUCUUCUUGAAAAGAAGAGAUCAACACAGUGUUACUCACUCCCAUUCCUAUAAGAAAUAGGGGAUCAAGACAGUUUCACUGGGGUGGUGGCCUACUAAAAAGUAACGAAAGGUAGACAAAGAUAGGCUC
rnacentral:rRNA from 13 species